GGCUCUGUAGUGAAAUUCAUGACGGGUUGCAAGCUCGUAGAUGUGUGCUGGUUGCAUGCCAGAGUCU
rnacentral:tRNA from 1 species